GAUGAACGCUGGCGGCGUGCUUAACACAUGCAAGUCGAACGAAGCAAUUAGAGUGCUUGCACUUUGAUUGACUGAGUGGCGGACGGGUGAGUAACGCGUGGGUAACCUGCCUCACACAGGGGGACAACAGUUGGAAACGACUGCUAAUACCGCAUAAGCGCACAGUACCGCAUGGUACAGUGUGAAAAACUCCGGUGGUGUGAGAUGGACCCGCGUCUGAUUAGCUAGUUGGUAGGGUAACGGCCUACUAAGGCGACGAUCAGUAGCCGGCCUGAGAGGGUGAACGGCCACAUUGGGACUGAGACACGGCCCAAACUCCUACGGGAGCAGCAGUGGGAAUAUUGGCACAAUGGGGGGGAACCCUGAGU
rnacentral:rRNA from 1 species